GGACGCUGCUACCAUGCAAGUCGAGAGAUGAAGGAGGAGCUUGCUCCUCUGGAUUAGUGGCGAACGGGUGAGUAAUACGUGAGCAAUGUGCCCUUGACUCUGGGAUAAGCGCUGGAAACGGCGUCUAAUACCGGAUACGACCCUCGGAGGCAUCUCCUGAUGGUGGAAAGAACUUCGGUCAAGGAUCAGCUCACGGCCUAUCAGCUAGUUGGGGAGGGAACGGCUCACCAAGGCAACGACGGGUAGCCGGCCUGAAAGGGUGACCGGCCACACUGGGACUGAGACACGGCCCACACUCCUACGGGAGGCAGCAGUGGGGAAUAUUGCACAAUGGGCGCAAGCCUGAUGCAGCAACGCCGCGUGAGGGACGAAGGCCUUCGGGUUGUAAACCUCUUUUAGCAGGGAAGAAGCGAAAGUGACGGUACCUGCAGAAAAAGCACCGGCUAACUACGUGCCAGCAGCCGCGGUAAUACGUAGGGUGCAAGCGUUGUCCGGAAUUAUUGGGCGUAAAGAGCUCGUAGGCGGUUUGUCGCGUCUGCUGUGAAAACCCGAGGCUCAACCUCGGGCUUGCAGUGGGUACGGGCAGACUAGAGUGCGGUAGGGGAGAUUGGAAUUCCUGGUGUAGCGGUGGAAUGCGCAGAUAUCAGGAGGAACACCGAUGGCGAAGGCAGAUCUCUGGGCCGUAACUGACGCUGAAGAGCGAAAGCAUGGGGAGCAAACAGGCUUAGAUACCCUGGUAGUCCAUGCCGUAAACGUUGGGAACUAGAUGUGGGGGACCAUUUCCACGGUCUCCGUGUCGUAGCUAACGCAUUAAAGCUUCCC
rnacentral:rRNA from 1 species